ensembl:lncRNA
UGGUGUCCCUCAGUGUGACUGCAGUAAUGAUCCCCUGCUGCCAUCCCCACACCUGAGAGGGGUUUGCUCCUCCACCUGGAUGCAGCCUAUGGAGAACUAACACCAUGGGACUGCUGUCUGCUCUUCAGACUCUUCUUACGUACCAGUGGCUGAAGUUUUCCUCUGGGAAAAAAACAUCAGAAGAUCGCCGGGUGCUGAACUUGUGUUGGGUCGGAGCGAUGGGGUGUGAGUAGUGUCGGUGGAGGAGCUGUGCAAUCCGACCAGGCCCAGUAAUGACCUCACUUGCAGAUCUCAGACCUGUAGAUGGAGCAAUUGCACUGCUGAAAAGAACCAGGAGCGCCUGCUGACCCCUUCCCAGCAAUUCAGAGCAAUUUUUAAAUCGGGAAAUAUUUGUCCCACAUGGCUCUGCUGAGGCAUUUAGCUAAAAAUGCAACAGCAAAAAGUAAACCGAAAAAAUCCAACGUCAGAAUCCAACGGAGCUUGGCAGGCUCUACCCCAAUCAUACCACGAACAGGAAGAGCCCUGCAGCUACACCAAGUUGUGUGCAUGUUAAGACACACAAUUAAUACCAUCUCUGUGAAAUACAGAUACAUUUGCUAGACUUUCUGCCAUGGUGUUCUGAGGGCUUUCCAGUGAAGUUCAAAGGUAGUUACCUCAAAAGGUCAAACUGCUUCCAGGAAAAGGAACAGACGGAGUUACUUCUGGAUCUGCCAUUGGCUGGUGGUAUUUAUUUUCUUUGAACAAACAAGAAAAACCCAACAAAUACACACACACACAAUUUAUUAACCACCAACCACCCAUAGAACCACCAGAAGUGCAAUGUAUUGUGAAUGCCUCUCCCCAUUCCCUUUUUCUUGGUAAAGAAUGCAGAAGUAUGCUGUGAUUGAGCUCCAUCAAAAAGGACUUGCUCUCUCAGUGGCACACCAGAGCUGAAGACGUGCUGUUUCUACACUUGGAAGCAAAUCUUUUUGCCCAUUUUCCUCAGUACCUUUCUGCUUAUUUCUUUGAACAAACCCAUAGGGAAACAAAAUAAAACAAUAUACCUCUGAAGUUCUUGCCUCUGUUGCCUUCCCCUGCCAGACAGCUACUGCAGGAGAAGCCUACUGCCAGCCCGGGUCUGUGGAAUAAUAAAUGCCCCCCAUCGCUUUGUGCUGGGGAUCAAAGCAAGAACUGCAUUCAAAUAGCAGGAAAGUGAUCUGAA